rnacentral:misc_RNA from 1 species
AACUGAUACUACCUGCGGGAACCUGCGGAGGGAUCAUUACUGAAGUGCUUGGAGAUGUUGCUAGCUUCUUCUAUGGAGUAGUGUGCACUCUUCCAACUUUACACAAUUUCCUUCACACCCCCCCCCUUGUGCACUUCCCUGUAGGGUAAACCCACCCUCACCUGGAGGGAGGGAGGACUCUAUGUUGCUUUUGCUAUCCUUCACACCUUCAUGAAAUUGGUAUGGUGGUGUUGAAUAGAA